rnacentral:lncRNA from 1 species
UCGCUGCCCUCCUCCACCACCCACGUGUCCCUCACCUCCGGCGCCGCCUGUGCCGCCGCGAUGCCAGCUCAGAUGCCAGCUCAGAUGCCAGCUCAGAUGCCAGCUCAGGAGUGACGUCCCGGAGCCCCGGUCCGGACUGAGCCCCGGGGGGCCGAGGGAGGGCCCCGCUCGUCCUUGUCUGCAGCUGCUUUGUGUGCGUGUGUUUGUGAGACACGAACGGCCCGGCGGGGGACCCGCCCCUUCCCUCCCUCCCUCCCUCCCCGUGCCCCUCCCCGUGCCCCUCCCCGGCCCGGAUCUGUCACUUUAUUUAUUUAACCUAUUUAUUUAUGGAGUGGUUGAUGGCGGAGGCAGGAGACGCGCUCGGACUGUUGGACGUGCAGGGCUGGCCCUGGGCACUGUGCUGACCCCCGGGUUUGCCCAGCUCCCAGCCCUGCCCACGCUGCCCAGCACAGGGCUGGGCACGGCCAGGACACGCUCACCAGCCAGGAGGGGCACGGGACCCUCUCCGGGGGCUUUGGCGGGAGCUGGUGCUGCCUUUGCUGUGCUGGAUUCCCGGGAAUUCGGAGAUUCCUCCGCGGGUUUGGAGACUCGGUGGUGGCAGCACCUUGUCAGAGUCCCCCAGUGGGACUCCCCAGCCUGUGCCAACGCCGGGGGCAGCAGGGACAUCUCACGGACACGGGCAUGGCCGUCACUCCAGGAGCACCAGCUCCAUCCACAGGGAUCACGGAGUCACCAAAGUCAACCAAAGCCAAGGGCUUUGUCCACCUGUGCCACGCUCUGGAGACACUCUGGAGGCAGCCCCGGCCCGUCGAGGUGCCUGACACCAUCUCCCGUCCCUGGGCUGGGACUCCUGACAGCAGCAACAAGAGGUGGAACUUUCCAGCCCCUUCCAUCCGCCCAUCCCAAAGGCAGGCAGCGUGGGGAGAACAGAGCUGUGGGAUGGGAGUGGCUCCCUCCUGCAGCUGAAGGCAAUGGAGAAACGUGGGACAAGGUGGUGACGCCCAGGGGAGGGAGGUCAUCGCUCCCCUCCGGGCUGGGCAAUGCCACAGGGAGGUCACUUCUGAGCUGGGGGAGAUUUCCAAGCGGG